CCUACGGGCGGCAGCAGUGGGGAAUAUUUGGCAAUGGGCGCAAGCCUUACCCAGCAAUACCGCGUGAGUGAAGAAGGUCUUCGGAUUGUAAAGCUCUUUGAUCAGGGACGAACAGAUGACGGUACCUGAAGAACAAGCCCCGGCCAACUACGUGCGAGCAGCCGCGGUAAAACGUAGGGGGCGAGCGUUUUCUGGGAUGACUGGGUGGAAAGGGGGCGUACGGGGGAUAAUAAGUUAGAAGUGAAAGACCCAGGGCUUAACUCGGGUGCUGCUUCUAAGACUGUUGGGCUUGAGUGCGGGAGAGGUUAAUGGAAUUCCUAGUGUAGCAGUGGAAUGCGUAGAUAUUAGGAGGAACACCAGAGGCGAAGGCGAUUAACUGGACCGUAACUGACGCUGAGGCACGAAGGUGUGGGUAGCAAAAGGGAUUAGAUACCCGUGUAGUC
rnacentral:rRNA from 1 species